ACCUACGGGGCGCAGCAGUAGGGAAUCUUCCACAAUGGGCGAAAGCCUGAUGGAGCAACGCCGCGUGGGUGAAGAAGGUCUUCGGAUCGUAAAACCCUGUUGUUAGAGAAGAAAGUGCGUGAGAGUAACUGUUCACGUUUCGACGGUAUCUAACCAGAAAGCCACGGCUAACUACGUGCCAGCAGCCGCGGUAAUACGUAGGUGGCAAGCGUUAUCCGGAUUUAUUGGGCGUAAAGGGAACGCAGACGGUCUUUUAAGUCUGAUGCGAAAACCUUCGGCUUAACCGGAGUAGUGCAUUGGAAACU
rnacentral:rRNA from 1 species